AUGAUGUCGGAGGGUUCGUCAUAUGAGGAUUACCAACACAAGGAGCUUGAUGAAUUAAUCCAAAAUGAGUUCUUCGAUUCGUUGGAUUUAGGCGACGAAAAUGUUGAGAUGAUGAUGAUUCUAGGAGGAAAUGGAGAGGAAAGUGGAGCACAUUCUGAACUUCAAGGGUUCAGUCAAAGGGAGGAGAGCUGCAAACCGGAUAGUGUCGCUGGCGCACGACUUCUCUAUGAGGACUACUUCCAGCCCGGAUCAACAUUUCAUAAUAGAUUUUUUCGUCGACGCUUUCGUAUGCGCAAACCCUUGUCUUGCACAUGGUGGAGGGAGUGA
rnacentral:rRNA from 1 species